rnacentral:tRNA from 1 species
GGGCCCGUGGCUCAAUGCUAGAGCGUUUAACUCAAAUACAAAAGUUCGCUGGUUCAAAUCCCCGGUGGUCCA